ACGGGUGAGUAACACGUGGGGAAUCUGCCCUGAACUCUGGGACAAGCCUUGGAAACGAGGUCUAAUACCAGAUACGACCUUCUCCUGCAUGGGGGUUGGUGGAAAGCUCCGGCGGUUCAGGAUGAUCCCGCGGCCUAUCAGCUUGUUGGUGGGGUAAUGGCCUACCAAGGCGACGACGGGUAGCCGGCCUGAGAGGGCGACCGGCCACACUGGGACUGAGACACGGCCCAGACUCCUACGGGAGGCAGCAGUGGGGAAUAUUGCACAAUGGGCGAAAGCCUGAUGCAGCGACGCCGCGUGAGGGAUGACGGCCUUCGGGUUGUAAACCUCUUUCAGCAGGGAAGAAGCGCAAGUGACGGUACCUGCAGAAGAAGCACCGGCUAACUACGUGCCAGCAGCCGCGGUAAUACGUAGGGUGCGAGCGUUGUCCGGAAUUGUUGGGCGUAAAGAGCUCGUAGGCGGCCUGUCGCGUCGGAUGUGAAAGCCCGGGGCUUAACCCCGGGUCUGCAUUCGAUACGGGCAGGCUAGAGUGUGGUAGGGGAGAUCGGAAUUCCUGGUGUAGCGGUGAAAUGCGCAGA
rnacentral:rRNA from 1 species